AUUGAACGCUAGCGGGAUGCCUUACACAUGCAAGUCGACCUGAGUGGCGAACGGGUGAGUCAUGUAUCGGAACGUGCCCAGUAGCGGGGGAUAACUACGCGAAAGCGAAGCUAAUACCGCAUACUAUUGGAGCGGCCGAUAUAGGAUUAGGGAGUUGGUGGGGUAACGGCUCACCAAGGAGACGAUCCGGAGCUGGUUUGAGAGGACGACCAGCCACACUGGGACGUAUACACGGCCCAGACUCCGACGGGAGGCAGCAGUGGGGAAUUUUGGACAAUGGGGGAAACCCUGAACCAGCCAUCCCGCGUGUGCGAUGAAGGCCUUCGGGUUGUAAAGCACUUUUGGCAGGAGAGCGGUACCUGCAGAAUAAGCACCGGCUAACUACGUGCCAGCAGCCGCGGUAAUAC
rnacentral:rRNA from 1 species